AUAUCGGAAGAAUCGCGCCUUUUAUCUUUAAAAGAAAAUAUUGUCCAUUAGAAAUAUAUGCUUGCUCUUUAAUUUGCCUGUUCCAUAUUUUCCAAUAAUAACUUACUCACUCUGGUUAAUUGCUUCGUGAAGUUAAGAAUGGAAUGUCAGUCCGUUACAAGUCAAGCAUGGAGGAUAUUUUUCAUUGUUGGCUCCAGUUUAACCUUUUCUCGGGGAGUGGAAAAGAGGGACUCUUCCCGCCCAAACUUGGUUACACCAAGAGUUACACCACGAUACGAAACGAGUCCCGGUGCUGCUGCUGCUGCUGCUGCUGCUGCGAGAGGGCAUUAAAACCUCCAAACCACUAGACCGAAUCAUCACACUCUAAACCGUAUCGGUGGAGCUUGGAACUACAAUCAAAGUCACUCGUCCUCCUCUCUCCCUCUCUCGAGAUGCCUCGCCCAUGUCACACGAAGGUGGAACUCUGCGAGAUCGCAGCAGUGCUUUGCGUGGCCAUUCUGCCAACGGUGUUGGUGGCAGUUAUAGUCUAUCAUUAUGGCCAACCGCUGGAUAAUGGGAUCAUGAGCGUUGCGCUCAUGAUAUUCGCAGCCGUCAUAGUCUUGUGGAUUGUGACUCGUAUCUGCAGAUCGAGGACGGACGCCAGUCAAGAUCGGGUUGGCCUCGUGAGCGACCCCGAAGCCCUUGUCGAAGAAGUCAUCACAAAAUCUCCGGGAGUUAACAACCAGACACCCAUUUUCACUCCCAUAACAUCAAACCUGCUGCAACAUCACAUCAACCCGAAAAAUGCAGCGCCCUGUAACAUUCUACCUUUCCCAGCGAAUACCAAGACACCUGCUGACUUUUCUGUGAAUAACUGCCUACACGUCUGAGUACCACCAGUCCACCACUGGAAAAGGUACUAACUGCGUCUAGAGGCUCUUACGCGUGAAUCACGAGCCGUCAGGUUUCAUUUUCAUGAAUGCAGAGUACAGGAAUUUGCGUCGCGAGCAGGAGGAUUUCCUGACCAUUGCACCUUCAUUAUGCCGUAUAGUAAACCUUGGUCAACACGAGGAUUAUACGGAAACCCAAGGAUAUCGAUAAUCACUACUUUCGACAAUGCUGUCUUCGUUUAGCAGGUACCGUAAGGCAGUUUAUGGAUAGAUAGUGAUGUUGAUUUCCCACGCAUUGGCUUGAAGAAUAGAGCAGUUGGAGGAAAAAAUAAUGGAGAACGCUUUAGUGGAUGGAGAUCGCCUAGUGCGUCGUACUUAUCGCCAGGAUCUUUCGUUAGACUAUACUAGAACAUGUACAUGUGAUAAAUACGUAAGCUUUACGUGUACCAUGGUGCUACAUUAAUGUAUUUUGUACAUAACGCAAGAAUAAACCUUUUAAUAUAGAAAAGUGCAUUGCAAGUGAGAAUCCUAGUCAUACUGCAUUAGAAACCUACAUUAUGAUGAUAGUACUAACUACUUCUAGGCACUAAUCUGAAAAAUAAUGUUUAAUUAACUAAUGAUAUCUGAUUUGUUUUCUCCCGUGUGGCUUUUUAAAGCAAGUCGACCGUUUUAACGACGUACCCAUUUUUCGAAAAACAUGCCUCUUCUGUAAGUGCAAAUACCGUCACAACGAGGGCACCUACUUGGGAAUGUCAUAGGAGCCCAAAACCAUCAAGUGUUAUGCUGUGUUCAUCUCGUUGUUUUUACGUGAACUGUUUCAAAAAAUAUAUCUAUAUUUGUUAA